GAGAUAGGGCUGCAUAUGAAAUGGGUGUCUAGGCUUGAAAGGCGUCGGGAAUUAGUUUACAGUUACAAGCUUGUUAAAGGCGCCGGGAAUUAUUUUAAGAGCCCAAAUGCUUGAAGUUGUUAGGAAAACGUGUGUCCCUUUUAUCAUGUGGCUGUUUUGCCGCUAACCAUUAAGGGGGUGUUUGGUUCGUGAGCAGUGGCGCAAAUGUAAACGUAAUGAGAUUACACCGUCAGUGUAAACGGUAUGGGCAAAAAUUAAAUCAUGUUUUGGUUCUAUGAACUGUAACGUUAUCCAAUUCCAGCAAAUUUAUAGCGGUGGCGCUCCUCGUGACCUCGCAUGUGCAUGUGAGUGCACCAAUCAGUAGGCGGCAACCGCUACAUAAGUGGAUUUUGGCUUGUAGGCUUGUAGGCGGAGAAGACCGCGAGGAAGACGCUGUGCACCGGCGGCGGCAGCGGCGCUUUAGGCGGAGGAGACCGGAUGAAGGGGCUUCGUGCAGGGAGACGGUUUCUGAUACAUGAAAUUUUGGUCGUAAUCAGAUUUGUACUACGCCGGAUCUGAUACCCCUGUUAACAGAUUACGGCUGGAUUGAACCAGACACAUUUGAACGGUAUGUGUUACCGCAGUAAUGAGAUUUACGUUACAAAAUUCUAAAACAAACACAUCCUAAGAUGUACGUAGCUGUAGAAGCCUUUAAGAUGUACGCUGUAGAGCAUGACUUUCAGAAGUUCCCCUGCAUUGUUUUAUCUCAAUACCCAGUAGCAUAUAGUUGUUCAUUUCUCUUUUUUUUUUUGUGUAAGUCUUCUUGCAGUUUUUUUUUUUUGGUUGCUAUAGGUACUUAGAGCACCUAUAAGUAGAUUCCCUA
rnacentral:lncRNA from 1 species